rnacentral:rRNA from 1 species
CAGUAGCCGCGGUAAUACGAAGGGGGCUAGCGUUGUUCGGAAUUACUGGGCGUAAAGCGCGCGUAGGCGGUUACUCAAGUCAGAGGUGAAAGCCCGGGGCUCAACCCCGGAACUGCCUUUGAAACUAGGUGACUAGAAUCUUGGAGAGGUCAGUGGAAUUCCGAGUGUAGAGGUGAAAUUCGUAGAUAUUCGGAAGAACACCAGUGGCGAAGGCGACUGACUGGACAAGUAUUGACGCUGAGGUGCGAAAGCGUGGGGAGCAAACAGGAUUAGAUACCCGUGUAGUCCCUGUCUCUUAUAC